AUUCUGCCCACAUGGGCAGAGUUGCAGGAAGGGACUUCCAGUAGGAAAGAUCCUCCUCUUAUUGCUUGGGGUCAGGGGCUGGAGGGCAGAUGUUCUCCAGCUGAUUCCAGGCUCCUGUCCCGUUUACAGCACACUGGGUCCAGCCCCCUGCAUCCUGGAAGGCCCAGGUUUCCCCACUCCCCUUAACUCUCCCUGCCUGCACAAGGCCUGGGCUUCACUCACCCUCUUCCCUCAAGAUGGGCAUCUUGGUGAUGAUGCAGCACCCUGGGGAGCCCACCUGUAUUCUCUUGGCCAGGUGCCUGGAGUGCAACACAACAUGUGAGAGUGAGAAUCUUCCCAGACCGCCUGCUAUGGACUGAAUUGUCUCUCUAACCCCCAGUGUGGUGGUAUUUGGAGAAAGGCCAUGUGAGGACACAUUGAGAAGGCACUUGUCUGCAAGCUAGGAAGACAGCCCUCACCAGAAACCAACCCUGAUGGCACCAUGAUCUUGGACUUCCUGCCUUCCAGCAAAUAUAUUUCUCUUGAAGCC
ensembl:lncRNA CATIP-AS1 CATIP antisense RNA 1